rnacentral:rRNA from 1 species
AUGAGAGGGAAGAGCAGCAGCGUGGUAAGGAGCAGCGAGGUGAAGGAGAAGAAAGAAGAGGAGGUAGCAGCAGCAGGUUCAGGAAAGAAGAAGGGCAGCGGGGAUGCGGGAAGAAGGUUAGGAGAAGAAGAAAGGUUGAGCAGCAGCAGGGAUAUGGAUGGGCGGCGGCGCGAGGUGAUGAGGCGGCGCUGUGGAUGGUGGUGGAUGGAGGCGCAGGGUGAUGGUGGAGGUGUUGGUGGCGCGCUGGGGUGCGGUGGUGCUGGUGAUGGAUGGCGCGGAGGCGCACCACCACGUCGGCCUGGCCAUGGCGGCGGCCGGAGGUGA